GGGUUAUUAGAGGAAAAGAAAAAAGGUAAUAUUCAAAAUAAAAUUUCAAUAAAUGAUCCUUCAAGCACCUGUUUUGUGACAGACAGAGAGAGUAACUGGGGGCCAUAGAGAGUAAGAGAGAGCCCUGCUUGUGGGUUGCUAGACAAAUGCUGGAUUAAGGAUGUGUAUGCACACACACAUACACACACACAAUACACACACACACAUACACACACACAUAUACACACACACAAUACACACACACACCAAACACACAUACACACACAUACACACACACUACACACACACACACACACACACAUAUAUAUACACAACACACAGGUGUGUAUAAAGUGGGGAAGCAGUUGGACUGUCAGUGUGGAGGGGAGGGAAGAAGAUGAGGAGAAGAGAGCAGAGAGUGACUCUCACACUGGCACUUGAAGCCCGGGAAGAAAGAGAGAAAGAGAUAAAAUGAGACAAGACACACAGGGGACAGCAGGCAUGUGGGCAUCAGGGUGUGGGAGUGUGUGAGCUUUGAGGCUAAAGAGUGAAUAGCAACAGAUGGCAAGAGGGGGUGCAGGAGCCCCUGAGAGCUCUGUGGAUAGAGACCUGACUCCGGGGCUCACCUGAGUCUCUCCCAACUUUUGGUCAAUAUGUCCUCAAUGUUGUUCCUAUACCAACCUCUUCACUCCGAGAGUAUCUGGUUCUGGGAACGACAAGAUGCUCAACAGGUAAAAGCCGUCCUUCCAGUCAAUCGCCACAGCUCACGAUGGAAGAGAAACCAACUUCCAAAAUUUUUCUCUGACUUCCUCGUGCCUGUUGAGGUGUACGGUGACUGACUGCUUCUAGGACCUCUGCCUUAACUUUCUUGCUAUAAUUGAUAGCAUCCUGGAAUUGCGUGCUAAAAUGAACUCUUUGGUGCAGUGGACCAUGAAAGGUUCUCCUAGAACU
rnacentral:lncRNA from 1 species